rnacentral:rRNA from 1 species
ACGAGAGAGAGGAAGCUUGCUUCCUCAAUCGAGUGGCGAACGGGUGAGUAACGCGUGAGGAACCUGCCUCAAAGAGGGGGACAACAGUUGGAAACGACUGCUAAUACCGCAUAAGCCCACGGGUCGGCAUCGACCAGAGGGAAAAGGAGCAAUCCGCUUUGAGAUGGCCUCGCGUCCGAUUAGCUGGUUGGUGAGGUAAUGGCCCACCAAGGCGACGAUCGGUAGCCGGACUGAGAGGUUGAACGGCCACAUUGGGACUGAGACACGGCCCAGACUCCUACGGGAGGCAGCAGUGGGGAAUAUUGCACAAUGGGGGAAACCCUGAUGCAGCGACGCCGCGUGGAGGAAGAAGGUCUUCGGAUUGUAAACUCCUGUUGUUGAGGAAGAUAAUGACGG